rnacentral:rRNA from 1 species
UUGAUACUGUAUGUCUUGAGUGUACAAGAGGUGGGCGGAAUUCGUGGUGUAGCGGUGAAAUGCCUUAGAUAUCACGAAGAACUCCAAUUGCGAAGGCAGCUCACUGGGGUACAACUGACACUGAGGCUCGAAAGUGUGGGUAUCAAACAGGAUUAGAUACCCUGGUAGUCCUCACAGUAAACGAUGAAUACUCGCUGUUUGCGAUAUACAGUAAGCGGCCCAAGCGAAAGCAUUAAGUAUUCCACCUGGGGAGUACGCCGGCAACGGUGAAACUCAAAGGAAUUGACGGGGGCCCGCACAAGCGGAGGAACAUGUGGUUUAAUUCGAUGAUACGCGAGGAACCUUACCCGGGCUUGAAUUGCAGAGGAACAUAGUUGAAAGAUUAUGGCCGCAAGGUCUCUGUGAAGGUGCUGCAUGGUUGUCGUCAGCUCGUGCCGUGAGGUGUCGGCUUAAGUGCCAUAACGAGCGCAA